CGCCCCGCGGGGCGGGAACCCUGAGGGGCCGGGAGGGGUCCGGAGCACCGGGAGCGGCUGAGGGAGCCGGGAAAGGGUCUGGAGCACCGGGAGCGGCUGAGGGAGCCGGGAAAGGGCUCAGCCUGGAGAAAAGGAGGCUCGGGGGGACCUUGUGGCUCUCCUCUGACAGGAGGGAGCAGCCGGGGGGGGUCGGGCUUUGCACCCAGGGAACAGGGACAGGACAAGGAUGGCCUCAAGCUGGGCCGCAGGAGGUUCAGGUUGGGUACUGGGGAACAUUUCUUCCCUGAAGAGGUGGUCAGGCCCUGGCACAGCUGCCCAGAGCAGUGGGCAUGGAGUGGUGGAAUCACCAUUCCUGAACGUGUUCAAAAUAUGUGUGGAUUAUGGCACCUGGGGACAUGGUUUCAUAUGGCAAUGCUGGGGGAGUGGUGGGACUCAGUGAUCUCAGAGGGCUUUUUCGACCUUAAUGAUGCUGUGGUUCCAUGGUUCUCGGUUCCCUGCUGCAGUGUUCUGGAAGCAGAACUCUCAUAGGGUGCUGGGCACAGGCCUCCCCUCCUCUGGUGUGGGUCCUGCCGGGUGAACCCCUGGAACUGGCUUUGCCAGGGCUGCAGGAGCCAAGCUGUGAGCCUGCUUUAGAUCCCAGAAUUUUUAAAUGAAUACUAUUUUUGAGCUCUUCCCACACACACAACUCAACAUCUCCGGCAGAUCGCCUCCAGCUGACAGCCCUGAGCCGCCUCCGCUCCCCUCCUGCCCUUGAGCUUGCUUCCAAUCCUGCCUGGGGAUGAAUUUUAAAACCUGGAUCCAUCCAUAUAGUCAGAACCAGGGUCAGUCUGUUUGAAGGCUGUACAUGGAAUGAGAGAUUGGAGUGCUCAUUUGACCUCAGUCUUGCUAAAGAAGCAAAUGAUUGUCAAGAUCCAGCAGCUGGAGAUGAGAAUUCAAUGUUUGACAAGGAGUUGUCCUCUGUAUCCACCUGGUGCUGAUUUUCCAAGGCUGCCGAUGAAAUCUCUGGGGAUAUCAAAGGCCUGUUUGGAACAACUGGUGGCUCCCCCACCACCUGCAUGGAUGCAACCUCACCUCAAAUCCAGGGAGCAGUUUUGGGCACCUCAGUACAAGAAGGAUCUGAAGCUAUUGGAGUGUCCAAAGAUGGGACAUGGAAAUAGGGAAGGGUCUGGAUGGGCCACAGGAGGAGUGGCUGAGGACACUUGGUCUGUUCACCCUGGAGCCUGAGGUCAGACCCCACUGGGGGCUGCAGCUCCUCAUGAGGGGCAGCUCUGAUCUCUGAUCUCUGCUCUCUGUGAGCAGGGACAGCACCCAGGGAAGGGCUGGAGCUGUGCCAGGCCAGGCUCAGGCUGGAGAUCAGGGAAAGGUUCUUCCCCCUGAGGGUGCUGGCACUGCCCAGGCUCCCCAGGGAAUGGGCACAGCCCCGAGGCUGCCAGAGCUCCAGGAGUGUUUGGACAAGGCUCUCAGGGGUGCACAGGGUGGGAUUUUGGGGUGUCUGUGCAGGGCCAGGGGUUGGACCUGAUGAUCCUUGUGUGUCCUUUCCAGCUCAGAUGUUCUAUCUAUAAUUCUAUCAUUUUUUUUCAAAAAAGAAAAAAUCUGGGGAAAAUUUAGGACAGCCACAGUAAAAAUUGCAUAUUGAAAUUAAAAUUUAUAUCUCAAAGGAAGAAAAGUACAACACAAUUUACUGUAUGUUUAUGAAUUAGGUACAUGUUCUUAUUUGAAUGGUGACAUGUAUUGUGUUGCUCUCUAAUGUUCUUCAUACAGCUUUUAUCCUUUUUAAUAAGUAUUUUUAAAAUAGGAAAAACAAAUUAAAAUAGAGAAAUU
rnacentral:lncRNA from 1 species